AGAAAAGGAGGAGGUGAGGAGCAGGAGGUAGGGGAAGUUAGAGGAAGAAAAGGAGGAGGUGAGGAGCAGGAGGUAGGGGAAGUUAGAGGAAGAAAAGGAGGAGGUGAGGAGCAGGAGGUAGGGGAAGUUAGAGGAAGAAAAGGAGGAGGUGAGGAGCAGGAGGUAGGGGAAGUUAGAGGAAGAAAAGGAGGAGGUGAGGAGCAGGAGGUAGGGGAAGUUAGAGGAAGAAAAGGAGGAGGUGAGGGAGGAGCAGGAGGUAGGGGA